GUGCUUACUUUGGCAGCACUAAAAUUUGAAUGAUACAGAGACAACUGCCCCUGAGCAGGGACAGCAUGAAAAUUUGUGAAGCAUUCUAUAUUAAA
rnacentral:snRNA from 1 species